AGACCCGAAACCCGGUGAUCUAGCCAUGGGCAGGUUGAAGGUUGGGUAACACUAACUGGAGGACCGAACCGACUAAUGUUGAAAAAUUAGCGGAUGACCUGUGGCUGGGGGUGAAAGGCCAAUCAAACCGGGAGAUAGCUGGUUCUCCCCGAAAGCUAUUUAGGUAGCGCCUCGUGAAUUCAUCUCCGGGGGUAGAGCACUGUUUCGGCUAGGGGGCCAUCCCGGCUUACCAACCCGAUGCAAACUGCGAAUACCGGAGAAUGUUAUCACGGGAGACACACGGCGGGUGCUAACGUCCGUCGUGAAGAGGGAAACAACCCAGACCGCCAGCUAAGGUCCCAAAGUCAUGGUUAAGUGGGAAACGAUGUGGGAAGGCCCAGACAGCCAGGAUGUUGGCUUAGAAGCAGCCAUCAUUUAAAGAAAGCGUAAUAGCUCACUGGUCGAGUCGGCCUGCGCGGAAGAUGUAACGGGGCUAAACCAUGCACCGAAGCUGCGGCAGCGAACGUAUCACCCAAGACAACUUUACGGAGUUGACGAUUGACGGAGCGAAGCGACGUCAAAGCGUUCAUUAAAGUCGAGUUGGCUUAGGGAUACGUUCGUUGGGUAGGGGAGCGUUCUGUAAGCCUGUGAAGGUGUGUCGUGAGGCAUGCUGGAGGUAUCAGAAGUGCGAAUGCUGACAUAAGUAACGAUAAAGCGGGUGAAAAGCCCGCUCGCCGGAAGACCAAGGGUUCCUGUCCAACGUUAAUCGGGGCAGGGUGAGUCGACCCCUAAGGCGAGGCCGAAAGGCGUAGUCGAUGGGAAACGGGUUAAUAUUCCCGUACUUGGUGUUACUGCGAAGGGGGGACGGAGAAGGCUAUGUUGGCCGGGCGACGGUUGUCCCGGUUUAAGCGUGUAGGUGUGUGUUCCAGGUAAAUCCGGUUCACUUUAACACUGAGGCGUGACGACGAGGCACUACGGUGCUGAAGCAACAAAUGCCCUGCUUCCA
rnacentral:rRNA from 4 species